UUUCUGCCUGUACGACCCCUUGGACAC
rnacentral:sRNA from 1 species